rnacentral:rRNA from 1 species
AUUGAACGCUGGCGGAAUGCUUUACACAUGCAAGUCGAACGGCAGCACGGACUUCGGUCUGGUGGCGAGUGGCGAACGGGUGAGUAAUGUAUCGGAACGUGCCCAGUCGUGGGGGAUAACGUAGUGAAAAUUACGCUAAUACCGCAUACGAUCUAUGGAUGAAAGCGGGGGAUCGCAAGACCUCGCGCGAUUGGAGCGGCCGAUAUCAGCUUAGGGAGUUGGUGGGGUAAAGGCGCACCAAGCCAACGAUCUGUAGCUGGUCUGAGAGGACGACCGGCCACACUGGAACUGAGACACGGUCCAGACUCCUACGGGAGGCAGCAGUGGGGAAUUUUGGACAAUGGGCGAAAGCCUGAUCCAGCCAUUCCGCGUGCAGGAUGAAGGCCCUCGGGUUGUAAACUGCUUUUGUACAGAACGAAAAGGUUUCUACUAAUACUAGGAGCUCAUGACGGUACUGUAAGAAUAAGCACCGGCUAACUACGUGCCAGCCGCCGCCGUAA